UACGUAGGGUGCAAGCGUUGUCCGGAAUUAUUGGGCGUAAAGAGCUCGUAGGCGGUCUGUCGCGUCUGCUGUGAAAACCUGGGGCUUAACCCCGGGCCUGCAGUGGGUACGGGCAGACUAGAGUGUGGUAGGGGAGACUGGAAUUCCUGGUGUAGCGGUGAAAUGCGCAGAUAUCAGGAGGAACACCGGUGGCGAAGGCGGGUCUCUGGGCCAUAACUGACGCUGAGGCACGAAGGUCAGGGGAGCAAACGGG
rnacentral:rRNA from 1 species